rnacentral:rRNA from 1 species
UAGGGAAUCUUCGGCAAUGGACGAAAGUCUGACCGAGCAACGCCGCGUGAGUGAAGAAGGUUUUCGGAUCGUAAAACUCUGUUGUUAGAGAAGAACAAGGACGUUAGUAACUGAACGUCCCCUGACGGUAUCUAACCAGAAAGCCACGGCUAACUACGUGCCAGCAGCCGCGGUAAUACGUAGGUGGCAAGCGUUGUCCGGAAUUAUUGGGCGUAAAGCGAGCGCAGGCGGUUUCUUAAGUCUGAUGUGAAAGCCCCCGGCUCAACCGGGGAGGGUCAUUGGAACCUGGGAGACUUGAGUACAGAAGAGGAGGGUGGAAUUCCAUGUGUGGCGGUGAAAUGCAUAGAUAUAUGGAGGAACACCAGUGGCGAAGGCGGCUCUCUGGUCUGUAACUGACGCUUAGGCUCGAAAGCGUGGGGAGCAAACAGG